rnacentral:rRNA from 1 species
CAGUCGCCGCGGUAAAACGUAGGGUGCAAGCGUUAAUCGGAAUUACUGGGCGUAAAGCGUGCGCAGGCGGUUUUGUAAGUCUGUUGUGAAAUCCCCGGGCUUAACCUGGGAAUGGCAAUGGAGACUGCAAGGCUAGAGUUUGGCAGAGGGGGGUAGAAUUCCACGUGUAGCAGUGAAAUGCGUAGAGAUGUGGAGGAACACCGAUGGCGAAGGCAGCCCCCUGGGUCAAGACUGACGCUCAUGCACGAAAGCGUGGGGAGCAAACAGGAUUAGAUACCCCCGUAGUCCCUGUCUCUUAUAC